rnacentral:rRNA from 1 species
UACAGAGGUGGCAAGCGUUUGUUCGGAAUUACUGGGCGUAAAGCGCGCGUAGGCGGCUUUGUAAGUUAGAGGUGAAAGCCCGGGGCUCAACCCCGGAAUUGCCUUUAAGACUGCAUCGCUUGAAUCCGGGAGAGGUGAGUGGAAUUCCGAGUGUAGAGGUGAAAUUCGUAGAUAUUCGGAAGAACACCAGUGGCGAAGGCGGCUCACUGGACCGGCAUUGACGCUGAGGUGCGAAAGCGUGGGGAGCAAACAGG